rnacentral:lncRNA from 13 species
UCGCGUGCUUCGUGGGCGCCCACGGGGCCAUGCCUAGCAUAGAAUGAAGCAAGAAAAUUUAGAAUAUCCAGUUCAAAAAUUUACAAUAUUUUUACUUAUUCCAAAAAUGUAAAACCAAAUUGGGAGCAAAAAUCGAAAUCUUAUUUUUGGCCAAAAGAAAUUAAAAAUAAUUACAGGACAAAAAGUGGUAAAAUGUGGUUUUGUCGUUCAUCCUCAAUGCUCGUGGGUUGGAUAUUCGCCCGAUGGAAUUAUUUUUGGCGCAAGUGGUCCGGAGUUGUUAUUAGAAGUUAAAUGUCUUUAUGAAGGGAAAACGAAAACAAUCAAUGACUGCUUAAACUGUUGCUCUUUUUUGGAGAAAGAUUAUACUCUUAAAAAGAAACAUUCAUACUACAAAUUCAGUUGGGUUUACAUUAAACAUUCAGAAAUGUGACCUUGUUAUCUAUUCAACCUUUGAUAAAUCUAUGUACACUCUAGAAAUUCUAUAUGAUAAAAACUUUGCCAUUGAUAUGAAGACUAAUGUACGCUAUAUUUAUUUGUCAAAAAUGCUGCACUGCUUAUGUAAGAAAAACGAUAAGACCGAAGAAAAUACAACAUUAAAUAUUUAAAUU